UCUCUCUCUCUCUCUCUCUCUCUAUGUUUUACUAGAGUCAGGCUCCAGCUGCUUUGAGUUUACUACAGGCGUACUGUAAGGUUUGCUGUGCUGAUGAGAGCUAUUUCUGUUUUGCCCGCGACAACGAGGACAAGUGGCUCAUAUAUGACUUCGAAACUGUCGAGACAGUAGAUACUUGGGAGCAUUUGCUAGAACGUUUCAAGGACUGCAAGCUCCAGCCUCAAGUUCUAUUUUUCGAGGUCAUCAAGUAGACUGAUGUAUAGCUUUGCAGAAUGCAAACCUCUGUCAGACGAUUAGACCCAAAUUUCGACCGAUUUUCUUACUACUUGUUGUCACUAUUUCUGUGUUUCUCGAUUAUUUGAUUUCUCCAUGGAUUUAUAUUUUGCAUUGAUCUUUGUGAUGUUUCUCUUUGGAACUGAUGGAUUAUGCUUUUCGGCCUAAUGCCCCAUAUAAUGGCACCACGUCGUUUUAUC